GGAGAGGUGGCCGAGCGGCUUAAGGUGAUCGCCUGCUAAGCGAUUGCGGGCCGAAAGGUCCGCCGAGGGUUCGAAUCCCUCCCUCUCCGCCA
rnacentral:tRNA from 1 species